rnacentral:rRNA from 1 species
CCUACGGAGGGCAGCAGUGGGGAAUAUUGGACAAUGGGGGCAACCCUGAUCCAGCCAUGCCGCGUGUGUGAAGAAGGCCCUCGGGUUGUAAAGCACUUUCAGUGAGGAAGAACGCCUGGUGGUUAAUACCCAUCAGGAAAGACAUCACUCACAGAAGAAGCACCGGCUAACUCCGUGCCAGCAGCCGCGGUAAUACGGAGGGUGCGAGCGUUAAUCGGAAUUACUGGGCGUAAAGCGCGCGUAGGUGGCUUGAUAAGCCGGUUGUGAAAGCCCCGGGCUCAACCUGGGAACGGCAUCCGGAACUGUCAAGCUAGAGUGCAGGAGAGGAAGGUAGAAUUCCCGGUGUAGCGGUGAAAUGCGUAGAGAUCGGGAGGAAUACCAGUGGCGAAGGCGGCCUUCUGGACUGACACUGACACUGAGGUGCGAAAGCGUGGGUAGCAAACAGGAUUAGAUACCCUGGUAGUC